AAUCCGUCGACAUGAACAGAACCACAUAACUGAAGCUGCCGGGCUGCAUUUCCCUGCUCCCUCUUUCUGCUGCAGUAUCUUACUGUUAAUUAUUGCUAUGAACCGCAGCUGGCUGGUGGGAGCACCAGGCAAGAACGCUUUCCCCUGGAACUAAACUUCAGGAAAAGAAAAAAUUCUGAAUAUGCAUUGCAUCAGGAUUAAAGACAAAUUUUGAAGUUUGCUUCCAGGGAAAAUGCUGGUGCAUUGAAAGCCUGUUAAUGUACAGGGGAAGGAGUGCCAAAGGACGAGAGCACUCCACAAAUACAGCUGCGAUUCCAUGAAGUCAGAGCAAGCAGCUCCUUGCCCACAAGAUGAGGAAUCGCCGGUGAACUCUCCAUCCUGUUGCACUCAGCAGAAAGUUUGCUGCUGAUUUCAAGCGAGCGAGAUUUUUACCCUGCAGGAAAUCAAGCGUGCAAACAGAUCACCGCCCAGCUCUUCAGCAGUCCUCAGUCCACACGACCUGGGGAACCAAGGGGCCAGCACUGGGAGCUGCGUACAAAGAGCACGCCAAAGAAUUACAGUGAUGAAGGU